rnacentral:misc_RNA from 1 species
GGACGGCGGCUUCUCUCAACGGCGCCACCAGAGGAAAUUGACCGGAGAUAAUCAGAAGCCGAUAAAUGGGACUUACGAUACGUGUAAUAGGAAGGAGUUCAGUUUUGCAAACUGUAUGAGCUGAUUCCUCCAAGGCAUGGCUGCCAAACUGCCUUUACCGAGCUGUCCCACAAUCUUUAAGCAUUUGAGUGUAGAUCAUACUAGAUCAAGAUUUAAUGGAGCUGUCUGCCUUUGGG